rnacentral:lncRNA from 1 species
UACUAAAUGUAAGGAGAUACUAGGAGUUUCCAAACAGUUAUUUACAGAAAAAAUGAUCUCUAAUCUAUCUUAUUUGUAAAGAAAUACGAUAGACACUAGCCAGUACUUCAGGUGUGUGCAGAUAAGAAUCCUAGACUCUUUGGGUAGACUCUAUGCUAACAUUAUUGCCACUGGGAUGGCUCUCAGCUCUGUAGAUUUUGAAAGUACUCAGCUCCCCUUCCAGCUUACACUAGCUCCCUUAAUUGAAAAAUGUUAUAAGAACCAUAUAAUGAAACAUUAAUGGUAUAAAUGGAUCCAUGAAUUGUUUUCAAAAUUGAAAUGAUGGCUGAGUCACUAUUUAUGUCUGUUUAAUUUGGAGACAGAACUGGGCCACACGCAUGAUAUUUAUAAAGCAUAUUAAGCACUUAGAUGCUACAAAAGUAGGAGACACAAAGGGAACCAUUAUUAUUUACACACCUUGGCACAAACAAUGGAAAAGUAAGCAUGCAUAGAAAAACCUCUGGUAAAAAUAAGAAACAUGUGGAUAGUCACUAAGUGCAUUUAGCUGAUGUCUUUCGUUCUAAAAUUUCUGCUUUUAUACUUUAAAUUUUAAAAUGCUGUUUGCAGUGGGAACACUUUGGUGCAGGCAUAUGUCAAAUAACUAAAUGAGAGCCCAUGGUUGCCAAUGCAUAUGCCUCAGUGAAUUGUUAAUUCUUAAAUUAUGGUUAUGAAUACAUUAAAGUUUUCAGGCAGCUGCUGCCUAGCCUCGUUAUGCCACAAUGACAUGAUAUAUUAUAAACGUUGAGAUCCGUACGUUUAUGCUAGCAGCCUUGUAAACACUCUAGAAGGAGUACACCAGCUCCCAGUGUCUUCGUCAUGGCGAUAGACGGCUCUCCCUCUUGAAUUUUGUCUGGAAGGCUGUGUGGACCUCUUCUUCCCUUGGAAGUGACUUCGCUGGUUAUUAGCUGACCAGCAGUGGGUGACUUGUCCCAGUGCUGUGACUCUCAACGAUUCACUGGAAUCCUCUGCAGAGAUUCCUUCCAGAGUCUUGUAGGCUCUAAGGACCUUCAGUAGGUUAGGCCAAAGGUGUGAAGAAAAAUGAGUGGUGUGGAAAACCUUCUCUUAUGCCUCUCCUCUCCUGUUUCUCUUUCUGUGGCUUGCACCAGCUCAUCUUUUCUCUAUUUUGUUCCUCUGUGGCCAGAGAACAGUGGAAAGAAAGGUGGGAGCCUCAUACACUUAACACCAAAAGCAUUUACCAAGCCAAAUGUCAUCUAAUGGUUUUCUCGUUCCAUUUGUUCUGUGGUACACAUACAUCAUAAGAGGAAAGAGAAGGCUACUCUCCUGGUAUCAAUCAGCAUAGAGCAGUGCAUGGGAAAUUUGUGUACGUGAGAACUAGGUACAGAACUUCCAAAGUAAAGUCAUGUAGGUCACAGCUGCUUUGUAUUGACUCCAGCAACCGAACAGUGACUGACAUAGACUGGAAUAUGCACCACCUAGAAUCUUUUAGCAAGUUCACACUGCUACAGGAGAAAGUGGUGGCCUCUUAGCACAGAGGACUUCCCACAUCACUCUGAACACAUGUCUUAGAAGUGACAUUGGACUGAGCAUGGGGACUGC